rnacentral:misc_RNA from 1 species
AUUACCAUAGAGAAUUUUGCUGUGAGUUCUGUUUGUGUAAUUUGUUCUUGUCUGUGUUAGUAACAUGCUUUCUGUCUUUCCUUGUUCUUUUAUAUCUUUCCAAAACAGGGUGUUCUUUGAUAUGUCUAGUAGGCAAGAUUCCGAUAUUGAUGAUGAUUUCAGUGAUCUUUACAAGGAAUAUACUGGCCCUGUUAGAUCCAACACAACUAAGGCACAGGAUAAAAUUGUGACAGA